rnacentral:ncRNA from 1 species
AUUAACACGUUAAGAAAGAGGAGUAGCGGUAAGUGAUGCAUAUCAGAGAGCCGGGAAUGGUGAGAACCGGCAUGCUGGCUUUCCGUGAAUGGGCUUUCGAGUGAUUUCUUGAACCGUCAGUAGGGAAAUCCGGGUUUCCGCCGUUAAAAGGAUAGGGUAUCGAACUAUUUUUCCGUACCUGAAUAGAGUCCUAACGGGGGUGGCACCACGAUCAUACGUCCUCCAU